rnacentral:rRNA from 1 species
CGCGUAGGCGGGAAUGCAAGUCAGAUGUGAAACUCCGGGCUCAACUUGGAGAUUGCAUUUGAAACUGUGUUUCUUGAGGGCAGGAGAGGAAAGUGGAAUUCCUAGUGUAGCGGUGAAAUGCGUAGAUAUUAGGAGGAACACCAGUGGCGAAGGCGACUUUCUGGACUGUACCUGACGCUGAGGCGCGAAAGCGUGGGUAGCAAACG